GUACGCUAUUCAGAGUUUGAUCCUGGCUCAGGAUGAACGCUAGCUACAGGCUUAACACAUGCAAGUCGCGGGGUCUGUUUCGGCAGACGACCGGCGCACGGGUGAGUAACGCGUAUCCAACCUGCCCUUCUCUUUGGCAUAGCCUUUCGAAAGAGAGAUUAAUUCCGAAUAACAUAGUAACAUUGCCUGAUCUUACUAUGAAAGCUCCGGCGGAGAAGGAUGGGGAUGCGUUCCAUUAGGUAGUAGGCGGGGUAACAGCCCACCUAGCCGACGAUGGAUAGGGGUUCUGAGAGGAAGGUCCCCCACAUUGGAACUGAGACACGGUCCAA
rnacentral:rRNA from 1 species